GCACUGGUCGCGACGAUAAAUGAAUUCAGUGGUAGAAUGCUCGCCUGCCACGCGGGCGGCCAGGGUUCGAUUCCCGGCCGAUGCA
rnacentral:tRNA from 1 species